CCUCAGUAAAAACUGCAAGUAACAGCAGAAAACCAAAGCUAAGGAAAGCUGACACAUGACAGUAGUUGAAGGCCUUUUCAAAUGUGUUCUGGAGGCAGCCCAACUUCUCAGCCAAUUGAGCUGUUCUGAGUUCAUCUCAACCUGGGCCAGCACCCAGUGCUGCAAGAAUUAGCUGGUUUAGAAAGUUAAUUCCCAAUUUUAACACCUACAUAUUUCCACAUGGUCUGUAAGGGAGCCCAACUGAUAACAAGGAUCACAGACAAUAAGAGAUAUUAUCUGGGAAGAUCAGCUUUUCAUUGUUCGCUUUUGCUCGGGUUUUUUGUUUGUUUGUUUGUUUUGUUUGGUUUUGUUUGUGUUUUUUUUUUCAUUUGUUUCCCUGAAAAAAUAUCCAGUUAAGAUGAGCUUCUGUACAGUUACAAACAUAUUUUGGUUUGAUUUGAGUUAAUGAUCAGCUCUCAAUAUUACUCUUUGCCCUCUUUCAAAGAAACUACCUGAAGUUAGUGGUUUAGCUUUAGGUGGUUUGUUCACAUGCAUACUUCUACUGCUAGUCUUGGAGAUGGCACUGUACAAGCACUACAGUAAAAUUCUCAAAGCUAUAGUUGCAGGCUUUUGCCUUUUGAUUUUACAGAUUUUAGAGAUUCGCCACAGCCAGGGCUUUGCUUUUCCAGUGAGAAGCAUGCCAGGCUGUCUAGGCUUUGUCCUAGCUCUUGAGCUUAUCUUUCCUCAGGACCAAGGGAUGUUUCCUAUGUGUUUUACUGGGUUGCACAUUAAUGUGAUCCCACACCGAGUAAAAACGUAAAAAUGUUUAUUGGAAUUUAAAAUAAUUUGUGGGCCAUUUCCUGUUGACAAGCCAUGGGUUCCCCCUCCCACGCUCUCUGAUAGCCAAGCUUGCAGCAGCCUCUGUCUGCAGCACAGUCAGUGAAGAAAAAAAAAACAACAACCUGGUGGGAAAUUAUGAGAAGGAAAUUGGGAACAUCUUGGUUCAUUGGACUGAUAUGCUAACUCUAGAAAUUCUGUAGGUAUCUUCUUCAGAUAUGGAUUUCUGUGUGCUUUGUGCCGGCCUGGAGGGACUGCUUCCUAUUCUACAAGGUUACACAGCUCACUAACAGUUAGUAGAGAACGUAUAAAAGAGAACAACUACACACUGUCAAGGGAGAUGAAAUUAAAUAUCCCAGCAGACAUUCCUGUUCAUAUGACAUUCUGGCCAACAGGCUUCUUCAGAUACUUAAGUGAUAACAACACAGUUAGUUUUCUUGUUAAUGUUAGUUCAGAGGGAAUUUAAUUGAAUAAAUAGUUCAAACUAGCAAUUUCUUUCAGCAAUUUUGGGAUGGCAGAGUACCAUCUGUAUCUGUCUCUCUGUAAUGCAACAACAGAUAGCUUAAACUUCAAGUUUGCUGCCCUUGCAACAUCAGGCAUCACAUUACUAAUGCAGAGCUAGGUUAUCAUUCUCCUUCUAACCUUAAUGAGUUUUAAGCUAUUUGAGUGGGGUUCGAACUAACAAGAAUGGGUAGUAACAGCAGCAGCAUAGCCACUGCAUGGUGUGUGCGAGGAACUGGAUUAUCUGCCUUAGAAACUGAUCCCUCACACUGCUAACAUGCAGACAAAUUCUGAGACCCAGACUGGCCAGCCAGACCUUGGUUUGGUUAAGUUUUGCUACGACACAUUUUUGGCACAGACUUCAACCUAGUUCUUACUUGUGCGACAGUGACUCCACUGAAAAACAGUGCUUGGACUACCAGAAUGAUUUGAUUAGUGGCACAGCAUGACUGGAUUAGCAGCUGAUACACUGUGUUAACUCAAGUUUCAAGUCUCUUGCCACUUCUCUAUUGCAUUACCCAUUUAAAUAUCAGCAGCACUUGUUCUUCAAAUCAGGCUCCCGAAACCAAUGGAUUGGCUGACUCAAGUGAAAAGCACUACCCAAAAAACUAGAUGGCUUUGUGGGUGACUGAAGUUAUCAGUAACAGCUGAGCUGGGUCUGCAGUUAACUACCUCUUCAGUGCAGACAGAUCCUUAUUGUACAGAUGCAGACUCAGAGUACAUAAGACGUUUAAUAUUCCUCUCCUUUUUCCCUAUAAAGCAUUUAUUUUCUUAACUACUUUGAUGACUGUGUAAUUAACACCAUGUUUCUAAGUUUACAGAGCAGGCUGCGUUUUAAAGAUACUUUGAAGCAUACACACUGCAUAAUCUAUUUCAUAUACAUUUUUAACUUUUCAAAGGUUCCUUCUGAUACGUCACACAUUUCUGAGUAGGAAUCACAUACAAAUUACUCGGGUUAGAACUGUUACUUGCAUGAGUUUUAUAUUCAAAUUUUUAGUUUCUUAUUUCUUCGCAAUAGUGAAAGAGUUAAUCUCACAUCUAAAUGGGAGUUUGCCCUUAGUAAGAAAGCAUUAAAGCAAGCCAACAAUAAUAAUCUAAAUGAAGGCCAUUCUUUUGCCUUUUGUCAAUAUUUUCAUAGCGACAAACAGAUCAAACACAUGAUAUUUUUUAAGGCUUGUAUUUUUUCCCUCUUUGUAAAUCAUAAAUGCUUUGGUAUAUUUAAUUUCAAAAUGAGCUCCCUGGGGAUUAGGCUAACAUGAUGGAUUAAAAAACCUUCAGAAACUAUUACAUCUUAGAUGGAAAAGUACACAAAAUGUUCGUUUGCUACUUCCCCCUGCUCAUUUGCUGGCUGUUUCUCUUUCUCCUACACCUGAAAGAACCAAGCUGUCUGCGUUAAUCAGAAAAGUUUCAUAGUCUUGCUCUCAGGCUUCAAAAUGCUUUAGCGCUUUUUUUUCUAAUUAAAUUAAAGAUUUAAGACUAUAUUCAGAGGAAAGUACUCGAGUGCCCAAGUAUUUUCUGCGCUACACAGAUUUGGCAUAUUCAUGUGGGAAGAGGUAGAAAACUCACUCCUGCACUAUGAAUUUGGGUCUUGAAAAGCAGAGGGAAUGCUUGCAUCUUGUGACAGUCUGCACAAGUACUACCUGGUGUUUGUGGAAGAAGUAUAUGAAAUGUUUUUGAAGAUCCAAGAACCCGUUACUCUUGAAUUUCCACUGGUUUUAAACAGGCCUUUCUUAACAAAGAUAGAAGACACUUCUCACUGAGCUGCAUUUGUAAGACCUGACUAACUUAUCCAUGCAAGAGCAUAAGGACAACAGCUCACUGUCCAGACAUGGAGAAUAUUAUUCUUGCUUGUCAGAGGGGAUUUAUUUGGUGGACUUGAAUGUCCUUUCUCCUAUCCUUCUGUCCUUAUCAAUUGCACAGCACUGGAAGGCUCCUGAAUGAUCAGUACAGCCCUUAACAACAGGGCUGGGAAAGGCUUUUUCACCCACUAGAUAAUUUCCUUCCCUGGAAAAGGCUUUUGUAUAAACUGUGAACUCUGGUCCAAUUGCAGAUAGAAGCGAAGGAAGUGGCGGCAGUGAGACAGCCCAGAAGUCCGCCUGGACAGAGUGACUACCAAAGCCUAAAUCCAGACACGGAACCUGGGCGGGACCACCUCCUCUUUCAUGCAACACAGAAUAGCACUUUAAAACUAGAAGCAAAAGCGAUAGGAAAAACUUUCUGUUUGAAGAGUUGGCCCUGAGCAGCAGUGAUGCCUUCCAGCAGGAGACAAACCCAUAUAGAGGUGUCCGUGAGGAGGCCUUGGGAUCACCCCUUUCCUGUGUGAUGUGAGCGCACCCUCCACUGAGCCAAUGACAAACCGUGUCCUCUGGAAACUCUGCCACAGUGGUAAGGACAGAGACAAACCAUUGGCAAAGGGCACCCAAGGUUUUAAUGGAUUUCUCAGAGAAACAAAAGUCUCAGAGAAACAAAAGCUUCAAAAGUUUAUGAAUUCCAGCUUUAGCAAGGAUGCAGUUUUGAUUACUUACCAUAUAUGUGAAACAAUUGAAGUGUCCGGUUUUUUUUUUCUUUUUUGGCUGUGUUUAUUUUGGAACUGGCUAUUUUUAAGGUCACAGUCCCUGCUAAGGGAGGAAACUGUAUCUCUAGGGUACCGGGAAUUAAACAGAGGAAAGAAAAAGGCACAGAGAAAGUAGCUGCCUUUACACAGAGAGCUCAAAUGUUUUGUUUCCUUCCUUGUUCGGUCUGUAGUAAAAAAAAAAAAAAAGAAUUUUACAGUAAACACUGACUCAUGCAUUUUAAAAAACAAAUUCUGAGUUUCACAAGACUUCUUUUUUAACUUUUUCCCUCCUGGAAUCCCUUCUGAUAAACUGCAGUAUAAAGGGACAUUAUCACUUCUUGACUAGUUCUUAUCCCUUCAGAGGCUAGGCUUACCACUCUCUACCAUGGUGACUUCUGUAAUGGGACCUCUGUCAAGCCAAUUAUUUCAUGUAGUGUCCUACUUUGGAGAUACGAAUGAGGAGGUAAAGAAGGCAGAAAUUGUUUCCAGAGUCUUGAAAAAGCCAGCUGGGACAGAAAUCAGCUACUGCAGAGGGCGCGCAUUGCACUGACACCACGCUUCUGUGCCAGGAAUCAGAGAAAACUGCUGCCGAAGGAAUGGUGCAAGAGAGGAAGGGAGUGAGCAAAGAGAGAGGCUGUGAAGACAACCAAGCUAUCUACAUGGUAAUUAAGUGCAGAACUUUACUCCUACCAGCUCUGCCCAUGCUUGAGGAGGUCAUGAGAGAUGUUACCACAACAAAGCUACACUGCACACUUGACAAAAAGAAUUCACUCUGGAGUGUUAGGUGUUAAAUAAUGCAAAGCGGGAUCAAUGCCAGCUGCGAUAUGAAAAUAAGCUUCAUAACUUAAUUGCUCAUUUGCAAAAUACCAAUGUUAUUUAUUCAAGCAACUAUGACCUUUUUUCUGAUGCACUACUAAUGUUCAUGUGUGGCUGUCAGAAGAGCAUCAUGAUGAUAGAAUAAGUAAUACCUUAGAUCAGGAGUUGCCCUAUUUAUUUUGCUGCAGAGGUACCCUUACAGAAAUAGAGCUACAGCUCUACCUCACUGUGCUACAGAGUAGUACUCAUUGUGCUACUACAGCUGUGCCUCACUGAGACAGGGAUUACAGAUGUUUCCAAUUCUAACCCAGGCUCCGUAUUUGCAUUGGAUGCAUUUCUCAAACGUCUUUUUCUCAUGUGUGAACCACGAGAAAUACACCAAUAUUUUGGAAAUCCCUCUUCUUAGCUAGUCUCUGUUCUACUGCUUGCAUCCUAGAUUAUGGCAUGUUAGGUAUGCUCUCCCAACUGCCAAGAAGCAUCAUUUUAAGGCGCAUAAGAUGCUUUCCAUGGCUCUAGACAGAUAAAGCAUGUACAGGCAAGGAACUACGUGUGCACAGCAGUUCAGAGGAUACCUAAUGUCCAUUAGAGUAAGUUAGGGAACAGCCUGACUAAAACAAAAUCAAGAAGGCUAGGAAUUGUAGGAAGAAACUCUCAUGCCUUAGUAAUGGUACAAUGCUAGACAUAAUCUGCUCUUUACUGCUUUUAUAAAAAAGUCAGUAGUAAGAUGUAAUCAUUAAUCAGAAGUCUCCACUUGCUAUUUGGGCCCUGUGUGGGUAAAGAACACCAAUGAAGUGUAGCAGUUAUCAAAACAGGAGACGAAGAGAAAUUCUGGAAAAGGAUGGGGCGAGUAGAUAUUUGUACAAGAGUUCUGCAUAGAGGAAAAGUAAGGAAGAAUUUAUCCAAGUGUUUCUUAGAUAGGGCUAUUUUGCCCUACCUAAUACUCGAUUUAUCUUUGGGUGAUAUCUACAUGUUCAUAUGCAGACUACAUACUUGCACCCUACCUUCCAGUGACAUAAAAGUGGCAUAGCUUUUUCUUUUAAUCACCUGUGUUUAUACUAUGUAACAUACAUUAAUGUAAGUACGUAAAAAUACUGAUCAGAACUAGUGUAAAGGGAAAACUGUGUGACCUCUCCAUCCCUUUUAAACGCAUUAGUAGGCUUUAAUAAAGUCAAGCUAUACUGUUAGCUAUAUUAACACAAUCAAACCAUCCCUGAGGUAUAAGGGAACUGUACAUGCUAGAAUGAGAGUACUAGUACACUUAAGAACUAAAAGAAUUAAAAACCAGAUGGUUACCACAUUAAAAAUUAAGCUUUUAAGAGUUCAGGAAGGAGAUCAAGAGCCUGUAAAGCAUAUUUAGACAGUGAAUACAUACAUAUUAGGUGUGUGUUGUGGAACUAGCUUUAUUUAAAUUUUGCUGCAAUGCAGCCAAUACAUAGUUAUGAAUGCAAUGAGAAACUCCUGAAGCAGAUGAUGUUAUUCAGUAGAGUUUGAAUAUAAGACUAUUCUUCCUGACAUGCAGAGGAAUAUAGGCUUACCAAGAAAGAUGUAACAGAAACAUCAAAUAAUUAAUUCUGAAAGAAUGCGGAACCUUCAUAGAUACAAAGAGCACUGUGUUUCAUUUGACCAAAACCAGAACACAAUCCUGAAAGGCUAUGAAGUUUUCUAGAAGUUUAGGAUGUUCUAAUUAAGUAUAACUCUGUACUCAGUACUGGUGAGGCUGCAUCUCGAGUACUGCACUCAGUUCUGGGCCCCUCAAUAGAAGAAAGACACUGAAGCCCUGGAGUGUGUUCAGAGAAGGGCAACGAAGCUGGUGAGGGGUCUGGAGCACAGGCCUUAUGAGAAGCACCUGAGGGAACUGGGACUGUUGCAGUUUGGAGAAGAGGAAGCUCAGGGAAGAUGUUAUUUCUCUCUACAACUACCUGAAAGACUGUAGUAAGGUGGGGGUCAGCCUCUUCUCAAAGGCGACUAGCGAUAGGACAAGGGGUAACGGCUUUAAGUUGAGUCAGGGGAGGUUCAGGUUGGAUAUUAGGAAAAAUUUCUCAAAAAGAGUGGUGAGGAAUUGGACCAGGCUGCCCAGGGAGGAGGAAGUCACCGUCACCAUCCCUGGAGGUUUUCAAGAGCAGACGUUGCACUGAGUGACAUGGUUUAUGGUGAUGGGUUGACAGUUGGACUAGGUGAUCUUAGUGGUCGUUUCAACCUUAAUGAUUCUAUGCUAUCUUGCAGGAAUGUGCUGGUUUUUAUUCUCAAGUUUUCUGACAGCAUGAACAUUUUACAAAAUGUAUAUGGCCUGUGUUUUUAGCAACGUUUCUAAAAAAAAGUACACUUUUACAAUGAAGGAGCAGAAAAAAAAUCUGCUCAUGCAAAGGACCAUGUUCCCAUCUCCUAAUGGACUUAGGUGACUAACUUACCAAAAUGCUUCUGUUUGAAGUCAUGGUACUCGUCAGUCUCCCUUAUUAGCUCUGAAACAUGUCUGGAUAGAUAACCAACAGGCAGAUUCUGGUUUGCAUCUUAUCAGUGAACCUAAAACAAAAAAUAAUAAUAAUUUUGUUCAGAAUCACUUUUAUUCUCCACACCUCCAGAAACUUAAGCACUGUAAAACUUAAGUAGUGAUAUAUUUGAAAAUUCCACUCAGCUAUUAAAGAUAACAUCCCAACUCAUCAUAAUUGACUCCAUACAAGAUGGAACUAAGUGAAGGCAAUUUUAAGAUAAGGUCUAAUCUACAAGAGCUUCUUAAGCUUAACAGUUAGAGCUCAGGUUAUAUUCAGGCAUAAGUCUGAAUCUCACUUAAUUUUCUCUUGUAAGAUAUGUUUUUAGUGACAUGCUGCUAAGAAAAUAAAAAUAAAAAAUCAUUGCUUAAAAAACUGAAAAAAUGUCAAUUCCUGAAUUCCAAAUUCUCACUAUAACUGUAACAUGAACUCUCCUUUAUGGAAGAAUACCCACAUUAGUACUCAAGAACAGCAUAGCUCAUGCACUUUCACACUGACAAGAGGACUGUAAGAAAAGCAAAAAUCUUUCGAUUCUUAUGUCUGAGUCAGUUGAGCACGCAACACAGCUGUCGAAAGCCUCAAAAUACUUAUGCUGUACAAUCUUGACACAUUAAUUGUCCAAUCCACUAUUUAAGAAAAUCAAUGAAGAAUCCAUAUGAGUUGGUAACCAUGAAUCCUCUUCUCUCCAGAACAACAUUAGACUUUUAUAUAAAGAAUAAAAUAUUCCGAUGAUCUCUGCAAGGAAUAUGCAAUUUACACAUUCAGGUUUUCAUAAACUGUUUUCUCACUGCUAGAAGAUUCAGGCACAAGUAUCUGAAGUAAAGAAAUCCUGCUGCAUCCCAUGCAAGAAAUCAACUGUUGGGAAAAAAACACCUACCUUCUACACUACGUCUUGUUAACUAGGAGUAAUCCCAAGCUCCCCUUCAGAGCUGUUCAGAGGUUGUAUCAUAACUGCUCAAUGCAUUUAAUAAUACAUCACUGAGCUGCAAAAUCCAAUUGUAGAGACAAAAAUGGUUGCUAUGUAUGUAAUCACUCCAAACAUCCAAGCAAAAAUAAACCUGCCUCUAUUACAAAGUUGUUGUGAAGGUACUUUUAGUUUCAGGAAACUGGAACUACACCUAAAACAUCAUAAUAAUGGUGUUUUCUAUCUUCAGAUCUUUAUACCUCUUCAGAAUGUUAGAUAGAAAUGCAUUUUCUCAUUCCUCCUGUGUGAGAGAUGUUAAAAAAAAAAAAAAAAAAAGUGCUGGCAGAAGUGGAAUGAAAACCAACAGUGAAAAAGGCUGCAAAUGUCUUUGGUAAAAUAUCUUUUAAUUAAGAAGCAAAGCACACCCAUGAUGGAAGCGGAUCCGGUUUUUAGUAUUUUUCAAACUUUACAACUUUCAAAUUUCAAAUAAUGAUACGCUUACUCUUUUGUUAAGGAAACACAGCUUUUCAACAUAUCGUCAGUGAACUCUGGUUGCUGUGUUAUUCACAUAUUCUCUCAAUCUUUCUUAAGGUAUGGCCCAUUAAAAAACAAUCAGGUUGGACUUACUAUCUUAAAGGAAAAUAUUUAAAUAACGCUAAACCAGCAAAAUAUAACUUCACUCAUACUUCUUUUUCUCAUGGUUCUGCACUCCUGAGGACAUAAAUAGCAUUAAUAAAAUACUCUAAGUAGCAGCUCCCGUUGUUAUUUGCCAAAACACCUAAAAAAGAAAUUUGAUGCAGCUUACAACAGAUCCAAACAAUUCACAAUUAGCCUCACUGUGUCUUUCAAGUCAAAGGAAGUAUAUCAGGACCCUGAGUUCUAAGACACAAUUUAUUACACAUUUUUUACUCAAGUACCUUCUACUGCAGGUACUGAAUAGGCAAAACAUUUGUUAUUCUUCAAAGCACUGCACUGAAAACACACACGUGAAUUUAAAAAAAAAUGUUGUUCACACAAUAAAGAUAUGUGUGAACUUAACUACAUCUGUCCCCAUUCAGACAGACAUCUGUAUAUUCCCUGCCUGGACUCCGGCAGUUGUCUACAAACAGUUCUCUCUGCAGGGUGCUUUGCUGUGAUUUGAUUUUUAAGGGAGAAGUGGUAUUUAGUCUUGCUAAUUACGUUUUCCAGAAAAUGCUUCUGACACAUUCUUUGCCUCCUCAAAAUCAUUUUUAUGAUUAUCAGUACAAAUUGAGCUCCCAAGAAUAGACUGUUUUCUUAAACACACAACAUCAAGUUGAACAGACCAAAAUGGAAUCCAUUUUCUUUUUUUUGUACAUAUUUUUUUCCUACUAUGGAUAAAACAUUCUGUAAAUCCAUAUUCCAGACAUUGCUCUAUUAUCUUUUAUGAAUAGUAUUUUUGAAAGCUGACGUAGAGUAAAAUAAACAACAUCUUCCCAAAUUAUAAAUAAUAAAUUAAAAAAAGAUAAUCAAUACUUAGCUUCCACCAUCAAGCCUAUCAACCCAAACUGCUUUGCUUCUAUAAAGAAAGAAGUUUUAUGCCUUUUAAUCAGACUCUCAAGGCCAGCUGUGUUCUGGUUAUCUCCUUCACAUGCCGUGUGUCCUACAGCCUCUUAAGUACAAUUCAUCACUGCCCCUAGAAAUUAUGGUGACAGUGUUCACACUGUAUUUUGUGUUCCUACAAACAAGUGCUCAUUUCACAGAUUAAAAGAGUUUUACUCUGACUGUAAACACAACCUACACAUUGUAAUACUGCUAGGGAUUUCCCUUUGCUUCACUCUAUCAGGGACUUUACUAUAUCACUACACAUUACAACCAGUGUACACUCAUCUGUGCACAUACGUAUCCAUAAAUAUACGUUCUACAUGUUUACCCUCUGAAAUACAAACCAAGGAAACGUUGUUGGUGACAGCCCGCUCUUCUGUCUAUGCAUUACUAACAGUAGAACAACAAUGCACAAUGGAUUUCAAUCACGAAUUAAAAAGGGAAAUAUUCUGUGUAUUUCCCUUUCUUCAUAUGCACAACUAAAUCAGGUGUGUCUUCUUAGGAUUUGUGCAGAUAGAUACAGUUUUCACAUUGUUAUAAAUAAUCACAAGAAGUAGUUAGCAGGGAACAAAUGCAAAAAAAGCCUUACUGCUUUUGAUUAUCUAUGCACUGUAUUUCACAGCACUUUUUCCUCUCGUAAGUCAACCAGUUAGACACUGCUGAAAGACACAGCAACAGGAACAGAAAGCAAGCCUUAGAAUUAUUUCCUCAAAGAAACUAAAAGCAAACUAAAACAGAGAGCAAUAUUCAAACAAUGUUAUAUUAGAAACGAUAUACCAGAUUCUACCAGCUGGGGGAAAAAUGGCAAACUAAGCAUAUCCCUUUAGGUCUCCCAUUUUGUUAAUUCUUCACAGGCAUAUCUACCUACACAAGACUUAAGCUGAAAUCCAGUUUAAUGUCUCCCUAGACUAUCCUGGAGACAUCCCAUUUAAAUAUGUUCUCAUUUUCUUCAUGUCAUGUUAUGCGUUUCUUCCCUGGGAGUGCAGUGUGUUGGCCUGAGAGAGUAAUGCAGGUAACAUUUAGUAUGUAAUUGUACGGUAAUAGUAGCAUUUAUCAACUCUGAGUUCCACUGGCACUAUUAAUUCUCACAGAAUAUACUCAUGUAACUCAGGCCACGCACUGUGGGACUCUGAAACACUGCAAACCAUUUUUAACAUCAAAUAACACAGAAAGGGAGCAAAGUCAAGAGCAGUCAAUCUGUACAAAGACCAGUGACUAAAAUGAGUCUGCGUUCUGGUUCCAAGAGCUGCCCUUAGUGUUUUCUCUCACCCUCUUGAAAAUAUAGCACUCUAUAAUCACAAAGGAGCAAGAAAAAAAAGAAGAAUUAUCCAUAAAACACACUGGAGUUUCCCUUCCAGUGGCAUCUAACGUUUCUGUUGUAAAUUUUGCACUGAACAUUCAUUAAUUCAACAGUAAAACAAUGGAACAAUCAUGGAGUACAAAAGAAAAUAUUUUGUUUUGAUUUUCUUUGUAUAAUCAGUGUAAAAAUAGGCCUCUGAGCAGACACACUAGGCAUUAACAUAUCUUCAUCUAGCUCCAAGGAUCUAGACUAAAUAUGUAAACUAAACGAUGCAUCAGCUAAUAUGCAUCACUAAACUCAGGUAUAACUGCAAGAAACCAGAAACUGUCUCUAAAACUAGGGAAAAUUCAGUUUACAAGAAGAUCAUCCUCUGCUUUUUACUAGCUAGUGGCACAUGCUGCUUUAGCCUGAAAUAUUAUUACAUUUUUCAGAACAUUACACUGAGUUCAGCGGCUGCUUUAUCAUAAGCAUUCUAACUCAUUCCAGCAUGUGUCACUGGAAUAGCACGAUACAAAUCAAACUUGCAUUCUCACCUGUACUCCUUAAAUUCUCCUAAACUGCACUGCUGUCCUGAAAAAGUACAGUGCGUGGAUAAAAUCAACGAACUCUGCACUGUUCACCACUAACAGCACACAGGAAUAACCACACUAGGAACCUGAAAAGUUUAGACAUAUGAAAAAAGUUACACGUAUGAAUGGGUCCUUCACAUCUCAGAGAGGCUUACCCUGACCAAACACCAAAAAGACACCAAAUCCUAGUCAAGAGAAAAAUCUGUCCUUGCAACAAGUGCAUCUGUUGCCCAAAUCCAUUUUCCAGUUCCACUGCCCAGAAAGAUGAGCUGUGCUUGCCUACCUGCCGGUCCGUAUGCCAGCCUCUUGGCCUCUGUUCUUCUUGAAGGCCACAGACACCAACGCUCUGUCUAAAGCACGGCUGGUGGGAGAUCUGCUGUCCUCAACCCGUGAUAAGUGGCCCAAGGAGGAUGAAUACAGAAAUGAGCUACAGCAGAUGGCUCAGAGAACAAGUUCACACGCGCCAGGCAGAAAUCUGGCCUUUCUAGAGACCUGGGAGGAUCUCAGUAUCCACUCCUCCUGUGGAAUGUGUUUAGUAGGCACGAACUGAGGAAUUUUCAAACCUGCUCCUUUAAACAAAAGCUGAUCAACUGGCAUGCGCCAGGUUUGGU
ensembl:lncRNA